rnacentral:antisense_RNA from 1 species
AACUCACUUCUUUCCAAGCAGGAUUCCUGCAGCAGGAGGUGCUGGCUUUCACUUUCUGUGGUCUUGGCUGCCAGUGUCCCCAGCAGGACAGGGGUGUGCCCUGUCCUGCCAUGGGUGGGGAGCAGGGGGAGUUCUGGUGGGUGCGCAGCUUUGAGUCUCUGUCGGCCUGCACUUGUCUCUCUUGUCCUCAUUCUUGACUAAAUUUCAGUUGAAUUUCUUCUUUUUUUUUUUUUUCUUUGAGACGGAGUAAGACAGAAAAAAAAAAAAACAGGGAAAGGCAAUGCAUGUGAAGGUGCUCACAACAGCUUACUUACAAUAAGGGAAAAGCUGACAGCGGGGGAAGUGUCUGAGCUAAGCACAUUGCAGCCCACCUCUUCCACAGGUUAUUGUACAGCCACUAUAAAGAGUCAUGAUGAAGGUAAUGCAAAGUGAUGAAAGCCUGUGAGCAAGAAAAAGACGUGUUCAGGCUGUGGUCAGAACUCUUGG